UACCGUGAGAACUCGGUGAUCCAGAUUAUAAACUAGUGAAUACUUCAGAAGGUUAUCAGAAAAUGACUGGUCUCGAUACGUUUCACAGUCGGGAAGAUAGAAAA